UACAGAGGGUGCGAGCGUUAAUCGGAAUUACUGGGCGUAAAGCGCGCGUAGGCGGCUUUGCAAGUCGGGUGUGAAAGCCCCGGGCUCAACCUGGGAAUUGCAUUCGAGACUGCGUAGCUAGGGUGCGGAAGAGGGAAGCGGAAUUUCCGGUGUAGCGGUGAAAUGCGUAGAUAUCGGAAGGAACACCAGUGGCGAAAGCGGCUUCCUGGUCCAGCACCGACGUCAGGCACGAAAGCGUGGGGAGCAAACAGG
rnacentral:rRNA from 1 species